UUUUCCGCAAUCGACGCAAGUCGGACGGAGCAACGCCGCGUGCGGGAAGAAGGCCCUCGGGUUGUAAACCGCUUUUGUGAGGGAAGAAGAUCUGACGGUACCUCACGAAUAAGUCACGGCUAACUACGUGCCAGCAGCCGCGGUAAUACGUAGGUGGCGAACGUUGUCCGGAUUCACUGGGCGUAAAGCGCGCGCAGGCGGACCGGUAAGUCUGAGGUGAAAGCUCCCGGCUCAACUGGGAGAAGCCCUUGGAUACUGCUGGUCUUGAGACACUUAGAGGAGAGUGGAAUUCCCGGUGUAGUGGUGGAAUGCGUAGAUAUCGGGAGGAACACCAGUGGCGAAAGCGACUCUCUGGGAGUGAUCUGACGCUGAGGCGCGAAAGCGUGGGGAGCAAACC
rnacentral:rRNA from 1 species